GGCUCAGUAGCUCAGGGGUUAGAGCAGAGGACUCAUAAGCCUCGUGUCGCUGGUUCAAAUCCAGCCUGAGCCA
rnacentral:tRNA from 1 species